AUGAAGCUGUUUGGACUGUGUUUUUCUGCUGUGUGGAUAUUGUGCUGUCUUGUUUUUGGCAGAGGUCAUGGUGUGUGCAGUAAAGGGAAGCUUGUUAUAAGAAUCAAUUUAACCACAGAACUGCGUUCUGAAAUCCUGCUGCCGUGCCUUUUUGAACAAGCUCUCACUGGAUCAAACCUGACCAUGAAUCCAGAAGCUGUGUGGACUCAGAUAAAUGAAACCAUUGACCACAUUGUAGAGAUCAAAGUAAAUAAUCCUGUAAACUUCUGGAAUAGCAGAAACAAUAGAAUUAAGGUAUCCGGUGCUCCUGCCACUGGAAACUUCUCCAUCCUGAUUAGAGAUGUGCAGCUGUCUGAUCUGGGUCUCUACCACUGUGAACUCUACAGAGAUAACUGUUCUCUGGGCUAUAAAGAGAUAGAAAUCAGUCUGGCUGCUGUUGAAUUUUCACUGCUCAAUAACUGGCAGCUCAUAGUUGCAGGAGGAGGAGGAGGAUUUCUGCUUCUCUGUCUGAUCACUGUGUGUGUUUACUAUACAUGGACAAAACGACAAACAGUCGAUGCAUCAGUCAACCACACAUCACACAAUAGCCCUGACAGUGAAGGACAAAAAAAUGAUGAAAUAACCUAUGCAUCAGUUGUUCCUAAGGCACCCAAUUGCCAUGACAGUGAAGGACAAAAAAAUGAUGAAAUAACCUAUGCAUCAGUUGAUUUUAAAUCACACAACUGCCAUGACAGUGAAGUUCUUCUGAAUAAUAACCCUAUAAAUAGCUCUGCAUCAGAAGACAUUGUCUGCCCAGAGACGAUCAUUUACUCUACCAUCAAGCAAGGAGAGAGAAGAUGAGCAAGUGAGCAACGAAACAUCCAAAUUAAAACACUCAAGAAAAAGAAAAUAUUUUAUGGAACUCCCAUCUUGUAUUGUUUGCUUUGAUUUGACAAGAAAUUAUAUGUUUGAUAAUGUUAAAAGAAGUAACAUCAUUUUCUAAAGCACUAUGGAAACCAAAGUAAACUAAUUCAUACCCUUUUCUCUUGAAAAAAAAAGUAUUAAUAACUACCCUAAAAUUGUGGAAAGAGUCUAAUGUUUGUCCCUCAUGUAUAUCGGCUUUGUCUUUAUCUUUGUUUUUUUUUUUUUUUUUUUUUGAAAGGCAAAAGCAUGAGGCGGUGUGUUGUUACUGUGGGUGAAGGGUGUGAAACUGAACUCAGCUACUUUAUCACCUAAACCACUGAAAUCGUUGCAGGCAAUGUGACAGGGCCACACAUGCAACAAUAAGACAGGAUAAACAGUCUAUCUUACAGUAUAGCUACUCCAGGCCAAGAUGCUUACAGGAAACCAGAGUGGAAAUUCCCAUAUCCAUGAGCUUCUUCACAAAUAAGCUACAGAUUCUGUUUUGUCACAUAGUGUGAAAAUGUUUUGUGUGAAAAUACACAAGAUUAAGCUCAAUGACGUGUAUGUUACAAUUAUUUCAAUUUUUUAAGUAGGCCUACAUUAGAUUUACAGUAGACCUGACUUGAAAGAACAAUUGCUCAAUCAUUCAAUUCAGAGGCGUCAUGCCCAUUCCACUCGAGCCAAGUGGAUUUUGAAUUCAGCUUACAAAACACAACAACAACAAAUUGCCCAUUAAUAUAUUUUUUAAAAUAUUUGAUACGAUAUGUUUGAUUAGAACGUUCAGUGCGUCACAUCACCAGCUGCUAAAUUCAAAUCUGUGUUCGCUGGCUGCCGCUGAGACAGACGCUCUGCGCAUUAUAACCAAUCACACACGAGUCUGAGCUUAUACGCAAUAGCCAAUCAGAGGCAUUCAGAUGAGUCAUCGCUGAAACCCCUGUUUUGUUCAGUGUGCGCGCUCACUUACUGAAUUCUCUCAUUAGAAACAACAAAGUGUAGAUGUGCAUACGAUGUAAGUAACAUAUGCAAUUCCAAAUGUAAACAGCUUCAGUGAUUAUAGUGGAAGUUUUUGAGAGUGCUUGUACUCUGGCUAGACUGAAGUUCUGAUAAUGAAACCGUGAUCAUUUUCUUUGAUAAUGUAGCCUAAAUGUUCUUUGCUAUCUUUCUGUACAUUGAAAGUGUUCUAAUUAGUAACUUACAAUGUUUUUAUUAAAUUCACUUUAAAUACAAUGUCGGUCGGAUUAAAAAUAUUUAUGGCAUGACACCAUGCGGUAGUUGAGUAAAAAGACUGAUUUUAUGUGUAGUUAAUAGAUCCAGUGGCGUUUCGUCCAUAUAAGCUGUGAAUGCUCUGCAUACCCAGGACAUUUGAGAGAAUAAGUUCACGGGAUAAUUAAUAUAAACAUGAUUAUAUAAUGAAAAUGUACAAGACAACUAAAAUAUUUUUCAAAUAUUUUUAAAAUAAAAUAUAUUUUUUUAAGAAUUAAAAAUAAUCAGAUUUUGAGUAAUGAACACAUUGCAACCAAGCUUGGGAUGGCCCACAUAAAUGAGCAAAAAUGUUUUACAUUUCUUAAAAUAAUACCUUUUGAACAUUAAACACUGACUGUCAGACUUUAUGAAGCUCCAUUCCCGCAUCCGUGUCCGCGCCCACCCUCGCCUCAUGUUUGCAGUCGACUGCAAAUGAUCAUAAUUGAUGGACAACUAUGCCCGGGGGGAAAAAAACAUAAGCAGCCUGGCGCAGAGAAAAGAAAAAGUAAAAAAGCUCAAGAUGAAGCCCGUGCAUCACUUUCAGUUAGGCUACGUUAAUAAUCCUGUGAAACUUUUUUGGCUGUUGACGUUCAUAACGUUUAUUAACGUUAAUUAAUGUUUUAAUUAUCGUAUGAUAAGCUUAUUGAUGACUUUGCCUCCAAGUGUGCUUUUGUAAAUUUUGAAAUUCGGAAUGCUCCAGCAGAUGACGUAUAUCAGUGUUGAUUUUCGGAGUGUCUAUAUACACUAAGUGCAAAUCGCCCACCUUGUUGGCAGAAGCUAUUUACACUAACUCCGCCCACCUACGUGUGAUUGGUAUAGUCAACACUACAAAAGACUAAUAGCAAACAAUAUUGACGCGAUCCACCCGAGGAUAUAAGGAAAUAACCUGUUUUUAUACAGUCUAUGGAAAUAACCGACAGGUUGAAAAUAAAGUAUCGGGUAGGGUAAGGGUAGGUGUAGGGGAGGGCUUUAUUGUCCCAAUAAGGUGGCAUCCAUCUUUUUUUUUUUUAAUUAAAAUUAUAAUUUACACUCAUUUUUUUUAUUGCAUACUGUUUUAUAAUUUACUAUAAUAUUGAGGUGCAGAUAAUUUCCACUAUUUGAAAUAAGUAGUAUAAAUAGCAGAAAAUCCUGCUAUUUUUUCCAUAGUGUAAAUGGAAUCUAUAGAUAUUUGCACUUGGUGUAAAUAACAUAUCUCUAAGAAAUACUGCUAUUGUCACUUAGUGUAAACAGAAUCCAUUGCUAUUUGCACUUAGUGUAAAUAUCCUCUAUAGCUAUUUACACUUAGUGUUUAUUUUGAUAUUUAAUCUUUUAAAAUGUUUUAUUUAAUGUGUGUAAUUGUAUUUUUUUAUAUUUUUUUUUGCAUUAGAGCUACAAUUGUAAUUUGUAAAUAAUACAAUUUAAAUACCAUUUAUUUAUUUAUUUAUUAAUUUUUAUGUUUAAUUAAAGUUCUAUUUUGACCCCUAUAGUAGUUUUUUUUUUUUUUUUUUUAUUCCAUUAUAUUUGGGGGAGGGGGCACAACAAUGCUUUUCUGCUUAGGGCACUGCUUUGGCCAGCAGCAGCCCUGGCCCCCACCCCCGACUCAUGCCCCCUCAAAAAUAAUAAGUGCAUGAUGCCCCUGAUUCAGUUGUACAUGACUCCAGUAUAGUCAGUUACACUGGAGCUCUGUGCUGACUUUGAGGUUAAUUUGAACCGACAGUAUUUAAUUUGUGGCAGUUAAUUUUAUUUACAACACAUCAUCCUGUAGGACUUUGCUCAGAUUUGUGGUAUUUUUGAUCUCUGGCUAUCAUGAGAAGUUCUAAACAUUGUGUAACACUGAAUUCAUUUUAGUAACACUUUAAAUAUAUUUAAAUUAGAUAAAUCUAGAAACUAGAUUAGAUAAAACCAGAAAAAACAUUUUCUGGAUGUAAAAUAAAAAGAUAAAACUGUACAGGGGAGACCUGGGAGUGUUGUAACACGGGGUUAGUUUACAAGUUUAAUUUGAUACUUUGCAUUCAUGCUAACUUAAAACCCACAUGCUAAAACAGUUAGCUAUGUUAUGACUGUUUGGGAUGGGGUUAGUUGUAACAGUUCAUUAAAAAUGUUACAACCAACUCCUAAUGAUGAUUCCAAUGAGUCCAGUUAUCCAGUCACAUCCAAAGUCACGAUUUAUGUAAAAUGUGUUGUGUUUAUGCGCAUAUCUUCUUAUUGGAUAAAAACACUAUCCGCCUCAAAUGAGCACAUACGUUUUUAGUGCACAUGUUUAGAAUUUAUGUGCAUCUUGACAUUUCCAUCCAGUAUUUUUUAUGUGAUAUUCCAAAAUUUACAUAAAAAUAGGUAUAUGGCAACAUAGCUGCUAACUGAAUACGGUAUACACACACUCACACAAACACACACAGCAAUUGUUUUUGUGCUUAAUUUGAAGUCCUAAAAGGAAUACAAUAUAAUGUUUUUUGUCAUUUUAAAUGGUUCACUUUAUUCAAAAUUGAUUAUUCUUUGUUCUUCAAUAAAGUUUUUGCAUAAAUUGGAA
rnacentral:lncRNA from 12 species